UACGAAGGGGGCUAGCGUUGCUCGGAAUCACUGGGCGUAAAGCGCACGUAGGCGGAUUGUUAAGUCAGGGGUGAAAUCCUGGAGCUCAACUCCAGAACUGCCUUUGAUACUGGCGAUCUCGAGUCCGGGAGGGGCGAGUGGAAUUCCUGGUGUAGCGGUGAAAUGCGCAGAUAUCAGGAGGAACACCGGUGGCGAAGGCAGUUCUCUGGGCCGUAACUGACGCUGAGGAGCGAAAGCGUGGGAGCGAACAGG
rnacentral:rRNA from 1 species